rnacentral:rRNA from 1 species
UGAGUACGAGCUGCUACGGCAGCGAAGUGGGUGAUGUCAAGUUUCCAAGAAAAGCCCUAUACCCGUUAAGGCAUGACGGCCUGUACCCGAAACCGACACAGGUGGGGUGGUAGAGAAUACCGAGGGGCGCGAGAUAACUCUCUCUAAGGAACUCGGCAAAAUGGCCCCGUAACUUCGGGAGAAGGGGUGCCACCGCAAGGUGGUCGCAGUGAAGAGGCCCAGGCGACUGUUUACCAAAAACACAGGUCUCCGCUAAGUCGCAAGACGAUGUAUGGGGGCUGACGCCUGCCCAGUGCCGGAAGGUUAAGGAAGCUGGUCAGCGCAAGCGAAGCUAGCGACUGAAGCCCCGGUGAACGGCGGCCGUAACUAUAACGGUCCUAAGGUAGCGAAAUUCCUUGUCGGGUAAGUUCCGACCCGCACGAAAGGCGUAACGAUCUGGGCGCUGUCUCGGAGAGAGGCUCGGCGAAAUAGAAUUGUCUGUGAAGAUGCGGACUACGUGCACCCGGACAGAAAGACCCUAUGAAGCUUUACUGUAGCUUGGUAUUGUGCCCGGGCUCUGAAUGCGCAGGAUAGGUGGGAGGCUUUGAUCCAUUGCUUGUGGGUAAUGGUGAGCCACUGGUGAGAUACCACUCUUUCAGAGCUAGGGUUCUAACGGUCACCCGUUAUCCGGGGACCGGACAGUAUCAGGUGGGCAGUUUGACUGGGGCGGUCGCCUCCUAAAAGGUAACGGAGGCGCGCAAAGGUUCCCUCAGGCUGGUUGGAAAUCAGCCGACGAGUGUAAAGGCAGAAGGGAGCUUGACUGUGAGACCUACAAGUCGAACAGGGACGAAAGUCGGCCUUAGUGAUCCGACGGUUCUGAGUGGAAGGGCCGUCGCUCAACGGAUAAAAGUUACUCUAGGAUAACAGGCUGAUCUCCCCCAAGAGUUCACAUCGACGGGGAGGUUUGGCACCUCGAUGUCGGCUCAUCGCAACCUGGGGCUGAAGUCGGUCCCAAGGGUUGGGCUGUUCGCCCAUUAAAGCGGUACGCGAGCUGGGUUCAGAACGUCGUGAGACAAUUCGGUCCAUAUCCGGUGCACGCGCAGGAACAUUGAGAGGAUUUCUCCCUAGUACGAGAGGACCGGGAGGAACGCACCUCUGGUGUACCAGUUAUCGUGCCAACGGUAAACGCUGGGUAGCCAUGUGCGGAGCGGAUAACCGCUGAAAGCAUCUAAGUGGGAAGCCCACCUCAAGAUGAGUGUUCCCAUGGCAUAAGCCAGUAAGGUCACGGGAAGAACACCCGUUGAUAGGCUCUACGUGGAAGCGUGGCAACACGUGAAGCGGAGGAGUACUAAUAGACCGAGGGCUUGAC